AAUGCUUUUAUACUAUGUUUGUAUCUGUUGAAAUUUUAAAUAAAAGAAUUUAAAAAAAUCUGUUCUUAUCAGUUUAAUAUCUGAAACUUCCCCUAUCUGGGGACCAUAUAUUAAAUGGAUUUUUAGAACAGGGAGCUUGCUCUGUCCACUCCACGCAUCGACCUGGUAUUGCAGUACCUCCAGGACCGGUGCACCCCUU